rnacentral:snoRNA from 1 species
ACCCUCUGGUUCCCUUUCCCAUCGGAUCUAUUCGCUAGUCUUGGUGGUUGUAAAAGGAGAAAAGGAACAAUGAAGCCAGCCUCCCAGUGCUUACAGUCUAGCAUAUAGCUUUUGGGCUGUUUCAAACGAGA